rnacentral:rRNA from 1 species
UACGUAGGGUGCAAGCGUUAAUCGGAAUUACUGGGCGUAAAGCGUGCGCAGGCGGUUUUGUAAGUCUGUCGUGAAAGCCCCGGGCUCAACCUGGGAAUUGCAUUGGAGACUGCAAUGCUAGAAUCUGGCAGAGGGGGGUAGAAUUCCACGUGUAGCAGUGAAAUGCGUAGAGAUGUGGAGGAACACCGAUGGCGAAGGCAGCCCCCUGGGUCAAGAUUGACGCUCAUGCACGAAAGCGUGGGGAGCAAACAGG